UGGGGAAUAUUGGACAAUGGGCGCAAGCCUGAUCCAGCCAUGCCGCGUGAGUGAUGACGGCCUUAGGGUUGUAAAGCUCUUUCGACGGGGACGAUAAUGACGGUACCCGUAGAAGAAGCCCCGGCUAACUUCGUGCCAGCAGCCGCGGUAAUACGAAGGGGGCAAGCGUUGUUCGGAAUCACUGGGCGUAAAGGGCGCGUAGGCGGACGUUUAAGUCAGAGGUGAAAUCCCGGGGCUCAACCCCGGAACUGCCUUUGAUACUGGACGUCUUGAGACCGGAAGAGGUAAGUGGAACUGCGAGUGUAGAGGUGAAAUUCGUAGAUAUUCGCAAGAACACCAGUGGCGAAGGCGGCUUACUGGUCCGGUUCUGACGCUGAGGCGCGAAAGCGUGGGGAGCAAACAGG
rnacentral:rRNA from 2 species